AUGGAGAUUACAAAGAUGGGGAGUUCUAGCCACCCAGUUCAUCAAGAUGCACAAGUACAAAAUCAAAAUAAUCUCCUUCAAGCCCAACAGCUCCAGAGGCAGUACACUCCUCAAAUGACUAUCCAUAACCAGAAUCUGACAGCACAGCAGCAGCACCAGCUGCUGCAGCAACAACAGUGGAUGAGGCGGAACCAAAUGAUGCCCCCCCGCGGCGCUCUUACGAUGUCGGACAAAACCCAGGCCCUGGUAAACGUGAAGCUCGAGAACACCAUGGAUUCACAAAUUGAUAGCCCGUACGGAUCUCUCACCAGACAACAACAACAUAUGCAGUAG
rnacentral:rRNA from 1 species